rnacentral:lncRNA from 1 species
CGAAAAAACCUCUCCCCUAUCCAAUAUCAGGCCUCCAGCCCAGUCAUCGCCGGUCACCGGCCACCGCGCCGGUCGUCGAUCUUCGGCGCCAGCACCGUCGUAUGCGGUGGCCGAAAAAGGGGAAACUUACCCUUUCGGCUCUCUCGACUCUUCCAAGCCUAGAUCUAGGCACAAAACCUUCAAAAAACAACUAAAAUACCCUCUAAGCCUUGGAAACCUUUCGGCUUCCGGCCAUCGGUCCUCGGGGGUGGCUCCCUCAGUCGUCUCCGCAAUGUCGCAGAUCCGAACCCAGGUGAGUCCUCUCUCUUUUAUUUUUUCUUUUGUAUCAGUAUAUAAAAAUAAAAAGAAAAUAAAUGACAAAACCCCAAAUAUCAACCUUAGAUUGAUUCUCUUUGUACCCUCUUAAUAUUCGGUUGUUUGUGAAAAUAUUUGUGGUUUUUUUAUUCAUUUUCCAAUCGAUCCCUUUAUAGUCUUAACAAUGGCUUUAUAUAGCCAUAAUAUACAUAAGAAAUGUGAAAAUAAAAUCCUAUUUACAUUGAUUUGAUUCUCCAUUUCUUGAUUUCUUUCUAUGUUGUUUGAUUUCUUUCCUUGUUUUGCAGGUGAAGACCGGGGCUGAUUUGGAGGCUUGCGGCGGUGUGGGAAACCCUAGGGUUUCUGUCUGUUUCGAGCCGUGUUUGGCCCACUGAAUUUGGGCCACUGAAUUUGGUUUUGGGCUUUGUGGCCCGUUUGUAAUUUUGUUGUAAUUGGACUGAUAUUUAUUUGGGGCACUUUUUAUUAUUUGUAGCCGGGCAAAAUCUGUUAUUACACAUGAAUUCAGUUGGGAAGCUUUUGGUGUGUCUUCUCAAAUCAUUUAUUUGAUGUGGUAAUGGAAAAAGAUAAGAAGUUGGAGACCCCACUUUGUCUUUUA